rnacentral:lncRNA from 1 species
ACUGUUAUCACCUGCCUAUCAUUUUUCUACUUUUUUUGCAACAGAUUGACAGCUUGAAUAAAAAAACUAUUUUGAAGAAAACAAAGAUUUUUGCAACAAGGACGUCACAGACAGCUAACGGAGUGCCAUGGGACUUGUAACAGCAAAUAUUAAUCAAGAGGAGAACAGAUUUUCUCUGCUAGAAGAAAACAGUAAAGACUGGUUCAUGACACGGUCUGCCCAGAAGGUUGAUCAUUAUAAAUUACUUUAUUGACCCAUGGCUCUGCUCGGCAUCCUGCGCUUCAGUGAACUGAGCAAUCAACACAUGAUAAAUGCAGGCACUGUAGAGCUUUCAGGCUUUGCUCCAGCUUUGCUAGUGACAAGCAGCAUCAUAACAACAACAACACUGGGCACUGAUACUUGUCUUACUGGCAUAAGGUAAUAAAGAGUACACACU